rnacentral:rRNA from 1 species
AGCGAACGCUGGCGGCAGGCUUAACACAUGCAAGUCGAGCGGGCACUUUCGGGUGUCAGCGGCGGACGGGUGAGUAACGCGUGGGAACGUGCCCUCUGGUUCGGAAUAACUCAGGGAAACUUGAGCUAAUACCGGAUACGCCCUUUUGGGGAAAGGCUUGCUGCCGGAGGAUCGGCCCGCGUCUGAUUAGCUAGUUGGUGAGGUAACGGCUCACCAAGGCGACGAUCAGUAGCUGGUCUGAGAGGAUGAUCAGCCACACUGGGACUGAGACACGGCCCAGACUCCUACGGGAGGCAGCAGUGGGGAAUAUUGGACAAUGGGCGCAAGCCUGAUCCAGCCAUGCCGCGUGAGUGAUGAAGGCCUUAGGGUUGUAAAGCUCUUUUAUCCGGGACGAUAAUGACGGUACUGGAGGAAUAAGCCCCGGCUAACUUCGUG